GAUGAAGAACGCAGCGAAAUGCGAUACUUGGUGUGAAUUGCAGAAUCCCGUGAACCAUCGAGUCUUUGAACGCAAGUUGCGCCCGAAGCCAUUAGGCCGAGGGCACGCCUGCCUGGGCGUCACACGUCGUUGCCCCCCCAUCCACUCCUUCGGGAUUGCGGGGGGCGGAUGAUGGCCUCCCGUGCGCCUCGUCGCGCGGUUGGCCUAAAUGCCAAGUCCUCGGCGACGCACGCCACGACAAUCGGUGGUUGCGAAACCUCGGUUGCCAGUCGUGUGCGGUCGUCGCGCAUCGAGGGCUCGAAAAAAUUGCCGGGCUCCGGCUCGGCUUUCAACGCGACCCCAGGUCAGGCGGGGUUACCCGCUGAAUUUAAGCAUAUCAAUAAGCGGAGGA
rnacentral:misc_RNA from 1 species